UAUCUCACGUAAAGAACAUCUCGUCUUACAGGGACACAGAGCCACUCCGUGUGAGCUACUGUUCCUGGGAACACUGGUCGUACCGAGGACAGCCCUUUGGCAAGGAUGCAGCCUUUGUUCCUCUGCCCACUUAAGCAAGCUUGCCUCAGGGGGUGGUAGUGGUGCGCAAAUCUGCGUCCAGCCGGCUGCCACUGGACUCUCUGGCCCAGUGUUGAGGUCACCUCCUCAGAGAGGCUUUCUCUGACCCCCACCUCUGCCAGGACUCUCCGCUCUAAUCCGAGGGAACUGCUAAAGAUUCAGAGAUGAGCAAGACUCGGCCCAUUUCCGGGAAGAUUCUAGUGGGGAAGUGAGAGAAUUGGGGCAUAACUACUUCAUAUGUGGAGUCGGAUGGAGGAACCUCGAGAGCACCUGCAGGCUUCUUCUGGACCAUUGCAACAGACCAUGCUACCAAGCAUUAGGAUAGAAGGUCUAUUGAAAGAAGCAACUUGAAAUAUUCUUACCAUGUUAACAAAAAAAGGAAUGUAGAUUAAAUCUCACAUUAAACCUAUAGGAAAUGAUCCUUGUGGUUUCAUGAGGUUUCCCCCAUCCCUUAAAUAUCAAGAAUAACUUUCCCUUUCAACUCUUGGUGUGUCCUCCAUCCAUAAAAACAGCUGAGGAUGUCAUAGAAGAGAAAUCGUCAAUAAAUUGUUUCAUUGGCUUGGAGGAAAGAAUCUCAUCCUGAUAACAGAUCAGAUUUAUAAGCAGAGCUGUCAGAUCAGCUUUAUAAACAGCACUGAUAACUGCUGGUCAUGCUGUUGUCAGACCUCCUGAGACCCUUCAAGGAAAGAAAGCUUUGGGACCAUCUCCUAGCAACACCAAAUGGAAUCAUUUAAUACCAAACAUUUAAUUUCUUUGCCUGACAUUCAACUUUAUAAUGUCAGGAGAGAAGGAAAAAGAGCAAAGAAACAGAGAGGAGGGUGGAGGGGAAAGAGAAAUAGGAAAGGAAGAAUGAGAAGAAGGUUGCAGAUGCUUGAGCUAGAAUACACAGGGGUAUUUGGGAAACAUUUGAAAGCUAUUUCCUUAGGUAAACAAUUUUACUCCUCAACCAGAGUAAUUGGUAAAAUUCUUGCCCUGCCCAACACAAUUUUGUCUCCAGUGGGGUUCCUGUGGGGCUCAGGAAUUGUUCCUGAGGCAGCUGUCAACCCUGCCAACUAUUUCCUUCACAGCUGUGAGCUGAUAGUUACACAUCAUUUCUGUUUCCACCACUCGACUCUCUUCCAACCUGCCAGUUUGCCUUCUCAUUUGGAACUGCUAAUGGUGCAGACAGUGGGUAGCUGAUGCUCACUCUGUCCCCAGUGCAGGGUACCGCCCCUUUCUGUGGUCUCUCUCCCUGUGGCCUGGGUACUAGAUCUAAGCUGCACUGCAUAGGACUUAGGGCUGGGCAGGUGCUCUGUGUCAGGUCCUUCUUUACACUGUACAUAGGCCACUGUGGGGAGGCUAACAUGGCCUCUGGGGUGCUCACCUCCUCUGUGGCAUUGUUCUGGUAUGGUAGUGGGAUCCAUCUGCUGUAGCCUAAGCUGGCUGUUCUCAAACUGGAGCAUGCAUCAGAAUGGCCAGCAAUGUCUGUUAAACUCAGACUGCUGGUUCCCACCUUCAGCGUUUCUUAUUUGGUAGAUCUGGGGUAGGCUCCGGAGCUUGCAUUUCUAAUCAGUGCCCAGGAGAUGCUGACAUUGUCGGUCCAGACCUUUAAAUACAGCAUUUCUCACUUUGAUAAUCACUGGCCUAAGCCAUAGCAAUGAGCUUGUUGUUCCCUUUGCUUCAGUUUAACGACAUUGUGGCUUUUUUCCAUUUUUUUUCUGUGGGGGAGUGGCAAGAAUGGUUAUGUGGCUGUCACAGCUGUCCAAGGCAACAAAGUUUGGCAACAGAAAAAACAAGAAGUGGUCAGGGUUAGGGAUAUAUUAGAGGUAGUGUCCAUAGGAUUUACUGGGGAAUUGAACAAGGGGUAGCAGGAAAAAGAGAAAUUGUGGAUAAUUUCUAGGGGUUGGACCUGAGCAAUGUUGAAGGAUGUUAUUUGCUGAAAUGAGAGAACAGACUGGGGGAAGAGGAUUCACAGUGGGGAGUAGAGGUUGGAAAUCAAUUCUGUUUUGAUAUUUAAUUUGAGAUGUCCUUUCAACACCAGAGCAUCCAGUAGGUGGUGGAUAUGUGAAUCUUGAACUCAGGCAAGGGAUAUAAAUUCUAGGGCCAGCAGAAGUCAAAUGAUAUUAAUGCCACGAGUCUGGGAGAGAUGUAUAGACCUGGAAAAAUGAAGGAUGAAGAAAGAGUCCUGGAGCAUCCAAGCCCUGGGUCUUUUGGCUUCAUUAUGUCAUGCAAACCCUCAAAAUGCUAUUUUAGAUGAAAAUAGAGAGUAUCGUAGUUGAGCAGGACAAGGAUCUGGUCUCCUAUGUGAAAAGUACAAAAGGCUAUAGUCAUAGCCACUAUAUUACAGUGGAAAGUGUCAUUAACAUGAUGGCCAAGUCCUAAAUUUAAAAUCUUUUUUAAAUCAUCAAAUAGAAAAUAUAUGAAUAAAAGUGUAAUUAGAAACAUGGACUAAUGAUCUAAGCAGUGAAUACAGCAUAUUGUAAUGUAUUUUUACUUGAUUUUUGAUAAGUCUAAGCAGUAAUAAGGAUUAUGUCAUUUGUAUCUUAAAAGAUUUAUCUAGGACUUUGAUAAACGCCAAGUCCGUGAUUGCAGUUAUCUUAAAAUAACUCACUCAAUUAAUUUUAAGUAUGUGUAGAGGGGGCAGGGCAGAGGAAUGAGAUCACUCUGUAUGAAUGAUGGAUAGCUUUUGGCGUGCUAAUAAGAGCUAUGAAGUAGGAAUGGAGGAUGUCAGCAUGCACACUCACCAUCACACAGCUGCCACUUGCAAAUUGGAAAGAAAAAUAAUACCAGGCCAGCAUGAGCAAAGCUAAGCCGGAAUUUCAGAAUUGCCAAAAGUCUAGAAAAUCUUCGGAGAGGAAAGAAAUGAACCAAGAACUAUAUAUUUCACGGCAGCACUCUGUGAAAAAGACUGAAUGCCUUAAAAGAUUUAUUUAAAAUACCUAAAAAUUGGAAAUAAAAUAUUGUUUUAAAAUACAAAGCUUAACUAUUGAAGGCGUCUGUUUGUCUCAGACAAAACCUUGACUCUGGAUAUGUUCCAUUAUCGUAUAGCUUGUUCUAGCCAAAAUUCUUCAUAAAAAGCAGAGAAAGGUAGAUUUGUACAGUAAUCACAUUUUAUUACCUUAUACAUUCACAGUCUCUUCCUAAGGUGAGAUCAGGAGAGAGGGGAAUUUUCUAUCAUUUGUGCAUUUAUUCCAGACAGAAGUCCUGGUUCCAACUCCUGCUCCUCUUGACCAUCUAUGUAAACUUGGACAAGAUAGUUAACCAAGUGUCAGUUUCUGCAUGUGAAAGGGGAUACUAGUGAUACCAUCUUAUCAGCUUGUUAAGAGGAUGAAAGGAGGUAAUUCACGUAAUCUGCUCUGCACCAUAACUAGUACACAGCAAGCACUCAACAAAUGAUGGCUAUGGUUAUUAGAUGACAUCGAUCUUGCUUUCUAGGUCAUAUGAUCAAGUAUAAAGAAAGUUAAAAUCUGCCUCUAAUGUAAAGCAGAAUAAGGUAAAAGUCAGAUCAGUGUAAACAAUGGUGUAGGAAUUCUGAAAAGGAGGCAAUCCCAUACAUAAUGGAACGUGGGACAGGAUCUUUUGGAGGAUGGUGGAAACAGAGUAGAGACGUGAGCAGCAGGGGACUGAAGGGGAAAGAAUGAAUUCCUCUCUGUCUGCCAUUGUAGUCAGCCAAGGGUGGUGAUCAGACUCAGCCGUUGAGUCCAAUCACUGCUAGAAGUUGGAAGUCUACCAUUUCCAGCCUUCAAAAUCCUGCCACAGGACUAGAGAGAGAAAGUACUUCACCGGUGGUUUGAUCUGAGAAAGCUUUUGGAAGGUUUGCUAGUUGACAUCAUAACAGUUUUUAUAAAAUCAUGUAUUUGUUUCUUAAGGUAGGAAGCCGGGCUCUGUAAAAGUAUUCUUGGGGGCACCAUUCCAGUGAUCGUUUUUGGGAUUCCUCUUUUGCAAAUGCCUUCACACAUUUUUGGACUAUCCUAAUUGAUACCAUAUCUUUAGUCUUUGAAAGAUGAUUGAUUUUCUUCUUAACUAAAAUACACCUGAACCAAAUAUUGAUUAUAUCAGCCAUUAUAAUAUUUUUGGUUAAAAACUAAGUAGUUCUCUAAUGAAAUGUGACAUUAGAAAAAAACUUGUACAUGAUUGAUCAAAUCAUUAUGUUCUUUUGGACUACACAUAUUUUGGCAUUUAAUUAACCCACCUACUACCAUUACUUUAUAGUCUUAUUUUCAUAAAUGUCUAUGAUGAGAAGUUGAUAGAUGUGACAUAAUUAUUGGAGAACAAAUAUAUCUAGAGUGAUGCAUCGUAUGAUUAUUGCUAGAGGGAACUGCUUUGUGAUUCACAAACAUUUUUGCCAAAAGAUUCCCUACUUGCUUCAAAGAGAUCGUGACCAAAUUUUGUCACCACCAAUUUGAUCUACCAUCCACCUUUUUCAGACACCUUCUCAUUUUCCCUGGUUUAGCCAUCCUUAGCUAGCUCCUUCAAGACUAUACACCUGAGAGCUCCCACAACUCUCCAAUACAUCUGUGUCUGAGCUAGUCUUGACAUAUUGAUGCAGUACCACAAGUAACUUAAGACUUCCAUGCAAGGAAAGAUGUAACACUACAGUCACGUUUAAUUCCUUCAACAACCAGCAAAUCUAUUACCAUAUUUAAAAUCACUGGAGGUUAAAAUGAAAACAAAUUGAAUAAAUUGUAAAGACAAGCAAGAAUGCUUUUGUCUGGUUCAAAUUACUGAAUGUUUCUUUCACUUCUUCUAAUCUAGUUUAGUGAGUCUAAGACUUACAGUGUGUAAGUGUCAUUAUAUAUCAUGGGUGAUUUAGUGGAUUUCCUAGGAAUAAAUUUGGAAUAGAUUUUAUUUUGGCCUUAGCUCUGAUUUUACGGCCAAUGCCUCCCUCCUUAACCUCCACCCCCCUCCAGACACACACACCAUCUUGACUUCAGAUUUUCAUAUGGAUGUGCCUUAGAAGUGGGUCACAUUCCUGGAUCAUUCCCCAAAACCUCACUUCCCAUUGCACCUUGUGCCAUUAUAAAACUGAUACCUUCUUGCUCUGAUAUCAACACCCUUCCUUGACUAGUAUGGUAGGGGAAAGCCGAUGAGUUGAGUUGAAAAAGUAGACAUAUGUGGAGUUCAUUUCAUUUGCAGAUUAAUUAUUACUUUAAUAAAAAGAGGUGAUAAAUAUAGUUCACAGUUAAAAAAUAAGUUCAGAUUCUUAAGACACUUCAGUAGUGGCAGCUUAACUUGUAUUGACUUUUUUCUUUCUUUUCUUUUUGGAAAUUCUGAUAUUUUAUUUCUUUGUGUUCUAGCACUCAGCAACUUAUAGCUUCACUUAUAAGUUAAGCAUGCAAUAAAUAGCAUAGGUUUACAUGUUAAAUAAUAUUCUAUAUGUAGGGAGAAAUGUUUAAAAAACCUGUGGUGCACUAAGUCUUCUUUUUUAAAUUGCAAGUUAAGUUAUUAGUUUAUCCUUCUGAAGUCAGUACAAACUUUACGAGGAAGGUACGUAAAUAGACAUAUAGCAAUUUGCCAUCAGUCACACAGAGAAACACAGCAGAGCUGGAAUCAAAACAGGCAUUUCUCAACGAAGGCAAUGUAGGUAGCUGCCUACAUGGUGUAAUUUGAUGGUGAGAUUUUUCUUUCCUAAAAUAUCUCUACUGAAAUGUUAUCACUUCUUUUGGUUCACAAGAUAAUCUUAGAAAAUGUAAAUAUUCUAGAAGGGUUAUGACAGUAAGGAAGCUAACAGACCUUAAUAAAAGCAGAAUCAUAGAAAUGUAACAUCUUAUAAUUAUGAGUUCUUUCAUGUUAUUUAGUUCAGUUCCUUGCCCAAUUCCUAAGGCCCCUCCUUGUUUCUUCUGACUGGUGGCUGUCCAGGCAAAAGUACUCCCACUAACUUCCUUUCCUGAGAGAGCCGACCACUCCACUGAUGACCAUCUCAUUUGCUUUUUCAACUUUAUGGAGAUAUAAUCAAUAUAUAACUAUGUAAGUUUAAGGCAUACAAUGUGAUGAUUUGAUACAUGCAUGCUUUGCAAAAUGAUUAUGGUGACAUAUUUUUUUUAGUUGUGAAGGAUGACUAGAUUUAUCAUCAAUCCAGAAACCUGGGAGUCAUUUUGACUCCUCUCUCUCCUUUGCCUAUCACACCCAACGGGUGACCAGAUCCUGUUGAUCUGAGGGCCAUCUCUCACUCGCUCUGAGGCGCAGCAAUGAAGUGUGAAGUGCUGGGGCCUGGGAGUUGGAGAGACAUGGUUCUUUUCUCGAGAGGCUAAUCUGGGUUGUGCCCCUUUCUGCGUGUGUGAAAUUGGCGUGUGUGGCAAUUUUUUAGGGCUUCAAAUCGUGCAUCUGGAAAAGAGAGAUAAAAUGCCCACUUCAUAAAGUUGCUGGGGCUGUUUGAAAUGUUAUAUAAUUAUCUAGUGUAACACCUGGUAAAGAGUCAAAACUUAAAUGCAAUUUCCUUCUAUUUACGUAUCCAAAGUGUCCCCUUAUGGUAACUUCUACUAAGUAGUGUUAGUUCUGUCUUCUGGAUCCACAAAUAAUAGGUUUUAUUCCUCCCUUCCUUUCGCUCUCCUUUCCGUCUUCUCUUCCUCCUCCCCCGCCCCUAUUUUUUCUUUACUCUCUGUAUUUAACAGGAAGAUGGCUAAUCUCUUUCUUUGAUUUACCAGUGUCAUAAUUAUGUGAAAGAAAUAAUAUGGUUAUUUUGACAUAAUUUGUUCCUCCUAAACCGAUGUAUAUUUAUACCCCUAAUUACCAAUAUAUUCUUUGCUUAGUAACACAACCCAUCUGGUUGAUGACUGAUAACCUAUUAUAGACUUUUGCUUGAUUUUGAAAUUAGCUAUUUUUCCUUAAAUUUCCUUUCCUCCUUUUCAAAAUGGGGAUAGAACUUGCUCAUGUUCUUACACUUGACAUGAUUACUUUACUAUUGCCAGUAAAUAAAGUUUGAAAUGAAAUUGGCCUAUUGAUGUAAAUUCAUCUAAAAUAUCUAGAUAGUCUUGCCAUUUAACUGUUCUGUUCUCCACUCUAUUUUAUUUGGUUUAUCAUUUCCAGUUUGAAGAUAUUUCUCUUAGAAACAAUUGUUUUGUCUUCUCUUUAGCAUCUGUUAGCAUUAGACCAUCUAUUCCAAACACUGAAGCUAUUCCUUUUUUAUUCUUGUCCAGAACAUAGUUAAAAUAAAGCCCUUCUAGUUCUCUGUCAUUCUUUUCAAGACUUAGUUCAUUCUGGGUUUUACCAUUCCUCAGACUGAGCUCUGAGUAUCAUAACACUCCCGUGUGUUUGUUCUUGGGUGUGGACUUCUCUUUUCAACUUUUGUAAAUGUGCUUUGAAAACCCAUCCACUUAAUAGAUAGAAUGCCCUUUGUGUGACUCUGGCUUUCUCUUUUUCUUCAUUUGUAUUUGUAUACUCAGAAUGUAAUAUUUAAAAAUUAAAUUUAAAUUUUCUCUUGAGAAUUGUAGAAUCUUCUUUGGAUCUGAACAUGGGAUCAUGCCUGUCUCUGAUAGGCACCAAAUUGUGAGAAUUUACUCCUGGGUAAGUUACACAUCUGUAUGGUCGUUUUGUAUAUGUCUGUUUCUCACACUGGACUCAAACUCCACGAGGGCGGGAACCAUGGCUCUUUCUCUUACCAUAGUUUUCUCAGCAACUCACCCAGGGUCUAGAACAUAAAAGACCCUCAGUGAGAAUUCAUUGAAUGCAAUUAUUUAAUAAAUAUUAGCUUUGAGUGUCUGCUUGCCCUCAGCAUUGCACAGAGUUCAGAUGCUUGAGUCUUCUGAACACUGACAAAGGGCUGAGAGCACAAUACAGCAGAUGCUUUUCCUUGUUAUGAAUCAGAGAAAUGUUCAACAAGCUGGCACCAGAACUGUUUCCUUUAUGUCACUCUUCCUCUGCUAAAACUCUGUCCAAAUUUUCACAAACUUCUGCUUUUAGACCAAGGUCAAAGAAUAUCCCCAUUUCACUUACGUAUUCAUUUUCUCAACCCAUGACUCAUUUAUUUCCAAGCAAGCUCAAAGCAGCAAUCUGAAAAGCACAUUCCAAGCUCACAGUCAUUGUCUGAUCCAUUUGUGGUGAUCAUUUGAAUUCAGUCAAGGUCCAGUAAGACAGUGCCACAAACCAGCUCCCUGGACAUUGUGUGGAAAGGUCCAGAUGUCACUGACACACAGUGAUGAAUUUACAGCUGGCUGGGUGGGACAGAAGAGCUGGAGUCACUGUGACUGGUUGACUUGGCGAGACCACUUAAGUUCUCAUGCUAUUAUUUCUGAUUAUCUUAAACCAGGAACAUUUUCGCAACUAAGGCUGGGGGUAAGGGAAGGAAGAAAAAUAUUGCUAAACAUAAUUUAAAAGUAUUUCAAUAGAUUUUGAAUAACUUUAUCCAUGUGAAAAGAAUUGCAUUAAAUGCAAUGGAAUUUAAAAUGAAGUAGAAAACAGUAGAAUUUCAAAUGAAAUAAAAAUAAAGCUGCUAACACCUGAGCUGCAAUAAACAUUAUUUAGAAUGUGGUGUUGAACUUAAAACUAUACAGUAGUCUGCCCUUAUCUGCAGUUUCACUUUCCAUGAUUUCAGUUACCUGAGGUCACCUCCCCUGGGAGCAGAUGAUCCUCCUUCUGAUGUAUCGUCAGAGGGUCAAUAGUAGCUUCAUGCUAGGUCACAAUGCCUACGUCGUUCACCUCACUGCAUCUCAACACGUAGGCACUGUAUCAUCUCACAUCAUCACAAAAAGAAGGGUGAGUACAGUACAGUAAGAUAUUUUGAGAGAGAGACCGCAUUCACAUAACUGUUAUUACAGUACAUUGUUAUAGUUCUAUUUUAUUAUUAGUUAUUGUUAAUCCCUUACUGU